UUGUUAUGGACGGAAUGUUUGUGUCUUCCUGAAAACUCAUAUGUCAGAAUCCUAACCCCCAGUAUACUGGUACUAUGAGGUCGGGGAGUAGGGGGAGACUUUGGCAGGUAAUCAGGUCAUAAGGGUGGAGCCUGCAUGGAUGGGAUUAGUGCCUUUGUGAGAGAGGCACCAGGCAGUUCCUUUGCCCUCUUUCCACCAAGUGAGGAUACAAGAAGGUGGCCAUCUGAAACCAGACGAGGGCCCUCACCAGAACCAGACCAUACAGGCACUCUGAUCUUGGUCUUCCAGCUUCCAGAACUGCAAGUGAUAAUAUCUGUUGUUUAUAAGCCAUCUAGCCUGUGUUUUGUUGUUGUUGUUGUUGUAGCAUUAUCUGAACUAAGACACUCUUCCUCUGUACCCAUACUAAGAUACUCUUCUUUAAGUACCUGGAGGGCAUGGAACCUGUCUAAAACGUCCUUCUUCCCUCCACCAAUUUGUUAGCUCACACCUAAUAGACACACCCUUUGAGUCUGUUGAUUAAUUUUUAGCUUUCCUGGGUUAAGGACUUCGGCAUGAUAUUUUUGAAUAGCUAAGUUUUCUUUCAACAUGUAUAAUUUAAAGAAGUUUCUAUUAUCCUAGGCUACCUCACUAUGUGCUAACCCAGUAAGCCAACCUACAUUCAUUGUACCAUUCACAGGGAUUAAAAUCCACUAGCCGAGGUUAGAUCUACACUGCAGUUCGCACUGUACUUUUGGGGGUACCCAGUCACCUAAUUGCAGCAUUGGCUCUCUUACAAGGAUUCUAAGUCUGGCUCCUUCGGAAAGUGCUUGGGAUUUGUUUUCUGCACAGUUUGAUGUGCUGGCUACAAGAUAUAAGUCAGGAGAGUUACCUCUGCGGUCACUAGCAGCAGAGAAACAAUGUGAAGACUGUCCUUGGCUUCCCUAAAAAUUGGAAACUGGCCAGCCGGUAUCUCUCGAGAGGCAACUUUCCAUCGAUAGUAGUCUGUGUAAUUGUAGCACUGAGAACUGGAGGACACUCCUCUGCCAGCCCAAAGUGUUAAUACACACCAACCAGCAAACACAGGAAGUCCUUUUGGAGUUAUGUGGUUUUUGAAAGUGUGCUUUUAAGGGUAGCCUGUUCUAACCGGGAGCAUUCUGAAUUAGAAGUCAACAACCUAAAUUCCCCUGCCAGCCCUGUGACCUCGGGCAGGUCACCCAAGCUUCAGUGUCCUAAUCUGUAAAACAGAGGCUUUGCCUACACCUGUUGAGGCUCCUCCAGCUCUCCUGUUCCAGGUGUCUGUGACUGUAUAUCAUUUCUGUGCAGGAGGAGAAAAGGACCCACGCUUUCCCCGAAGAGUGGCUGCAACUUGAAUAAAAACGAGACGUUGGCAAGGAAAACAAAUACUUUAAAAGGAAAGGUUGCCAAGCUUACCUACAAACCUCAGAGCCAUGCUUUGGUUGGAUUCCUUGUGAGUCAACAGCUUUCCCAGUUGCCUCAUCUUUCUUACAGCUUUGUUGUUCUUUCUCUUUUUGGAUUGCCUUGAUGACAUUUCCAGCAGAUGGAACCACGAUAUCGUGACCUCUUCCUGGGAGCAGGGCAGGGGGCAGGAGCUGCUCAACCUUGGACUCUCAGCCAUUCAGGCAGGCAGUGAUGGGAAAUGAGAGGCUCGUGUGUCCAAAGCCAUACAACUAGUUUGUGGCUGAGGCAAGAACCGGAACCAGGUUUCCUAAUUCUGUCAGGACCAGUCACUACCUGGUUCGUAUUUUCUCUCUGAACUUGAUCUCAGCGGAAUGACGGGUAGAUGUUUCAGCACUCCUAGAUUGCUUUACAAGAUUUUGAACGCCCAAGAAAAAUCCAAGGGAAAUGAAAGCUUGAAUGUCCCCUCUUCAAUGAAGCCGUCCCUGAGUCCACCCGCUUGGAGAAUUUAUUCUGAGAACUUCCUCGGCCCUUUAUCUGUACCCUGAAGGGUACUCCACUUUCAACAGGGCAGUGUCUGGCCUGAUUCAUCUGGGUCGGACAUAGCUCCACGUAUAAGAAAACUCACCAGUUCCCUUAAUAAACCAAGCCCAUUCCUCCAAGAGAAUCUUGAUGCAAGACUUGGGCCCCCACAGGGACCUCGUGUGGAAACACAGCCACCGCCAGCCCGUGGCUCCUUGUUUUUACUCUGAACCAACCCAGACUCAACAUCUUGUCAUUUCUGCCAGCACAGCAGCUCAGGCCCAUGAGAGGGAAAGAGUAACAUGAGACCGGGUAAGACGAGUGGCACAGAGUCCAGCUCACUCAGUUUGACCGGGGGUUCCCUACGACAUGCCUCCCUCAGAGAACUUGGCCUUAUCUUUACCGUGUUCUCUGUCCAAGCCGUUUCUGCUCUGGGUGUGUUGACUCACCCACAGCUGUGAACCCAGUGCUGUGGUAGACCUUCUAGCCUGUUCCUAGCUCUGCACUCGGCCUCAAAGCCUGUGUCCCCCAGGGCCGUGGCAAACACCAGGCACGUAACAGGUACAGGCCUAAAGUAUGGUACGAUCACACAGGCAGAGGAAUCGGGCCAUUAGAAGAGAACAGGCAAUGGAAAAUAAUGGCUACCAUGAUGGCACAGGCCCUGAACCCAGGCCAUUCAAACAAUGCCUCUUCCCCAGAAGGGCAUCCGUGGGAGAGCGGUCAGGCCUCCUGCCCAGCUUAUGGCAGCUCGGUGCUCACACGGCAGCUACUGCACAUUCUCCUGCAGCCUGAAGCCUGUGCGUCUGCUGGAAGUGGGAGCAGGGAGGCGUGACAGCACAAGAAACGUCAUACGAUGUAAAAAGAGACAAGGACAAGCACUCGGAUUUUUUCUUUUAAUUAUUUACCAGAUAAAAAAGAAAAAAUAGUGAUUGUUUCUCUUCACCCCCAACAUUUCAGUUUACCAAGGUCAAGUAGGAGAGAAAAUGCUGAACAGGAAUUCAUGCUCCUGGCCUGGAGCAAAUUCCCUUGGCUCUACAGCACCUCAGGGAGGAGGGACAGGGCAAAGGGCUCCAGGCAGAAAUACUUGUACUGUGGCAGCAGAGUGGCAGCGUGGCUGUCCUCCUUUCUCCUCCCCGUUGCCAGAACAUUCAGACCUUCCUGUCUGCCCCCCUGCACCAUCCUCCCCAAUGCAUCAAAGGAAGUAGGAAGACAGGACUUCAGGAGGCAGGACAGGUAUAGCGCAGGACCGGGGAAGCACACAGCAGACAUGGCGGAAGGCCACAAUCUUCUGUUUCUAUUGCACAUCCUGGCUCAGAUCCCCUGCCCUGAGCAGUGGGCUACAAAGUGAAAUGCUUCUGAAGUUCAAACCAAGAACCCAUGGUUGUGUGCCAGGCUCAAGAAGGGGAGGCGUGCGGUUGUGUGGUUUGUUCUGACACACACAUGUAAGUUAUGUGGAAGUUACUCCAGGAUGGGGGCAAGGCAAAGAUUAUGCCUCAUUAAAAGAACAUAUGGAGUUUGGACACCUGGGGCCCUACGGUCACCUGGGCUUCUCCCCCUCAAGUUCAAAAGACUAAGAAUAACUCUCCAGUCAGCAGAUCUUCUGCAUAAGACGGAAGAGGCAGCAGCAUCCACCAACUACACAAGCCCCCCUCUCCAGCUGUCACGAUUCUGACACUCAGGGGUGACCUCUUUCUCUGAACACCUGGAGAAUUUGGCCAGUGACCCCACAGGACAACAACCUUUCACACUGUAUGUUUCUCCACCAAGUGGCAGCUAUUAGAUUCUCAUUCUUCUCAAUACCAAGGAAACCAGAGGGAGACUGGAACACGUUGUUUACCCAACCUUACAGAGUCCUCGAGAAAACAGUGGGGCAGGGAGAAGGGACUGAUUUUGAUUUGGCAAGGCUGCAACUCUUUCACCUUCAUUGGCUGGAACAAAGCUGGUGGGUGAA